AGAGAAGUGCUUUAGCAAUAAAGAACCCGGUGACAGUGCUGCAUGGCUGUCGUCAGCUCGUGUCGUGAGAUGUUGGGUUAAGUCCCGCAACGAGCCGCAACCCCUGCCCUUAGUUGCCAUCGGGUCACGCCGGGAACUCUAAGGGGACCGACCCGGACAACGGGGGAGGAAGGUGGGGAUGACGUCAAGUCAGCAUGGCCUUUAUGUCCAGGGCUACACACGUGCUACAAUGGUUGGUACAAAGGGUUGCCAAGCCGUGAGGCGGAGCCAAUCUCAAAAAGCCAACCUCAGUUCGGAUUGCAGUCUGCAACUCGACUGCAUGAAGUUGGAAUCGCUAGUAAUCGCUGAUCAGCAGGCACGCGGUCCGAAUACGUUCCGGGCCUU
rnacentral:rRNA from 1 species